AUUAUAUAUAUAAUAUAAAAAUUUAUAUAAAAUAUGUAAUUAUAUUCUAUAUAAUAACUAUAGGUACUAUUACAUACUAUAUUAUUAUAUCUAAUAACUAUAUUAUAACUUUAUUAUGAUACAUUAAUAUACUAUUUAAAGGAGAUUUUAAAACUACAAACCUACUUUUUCUAGCUCCCACAUCUAACUCCCAACUCGUGCCCCUCUCUGGAGUUCAAACACAGCUGGGUGGGCUUGGCCACCGGGCUCGAAGCAUCCUCCCCAAAAUCCACCCAAAGAAUUCUCCAGGCGCGUUCCAGGUGGGAACGGCGAGGAGCAGAACCGGGAAUUGAUCCCUGUGCUCCUCCAUGGAAACCCUGGGAGAAAGAACCGGCCUGGCACAGCGCCUGGCAUGGGGGGGAUUGAGCCCGAGGAGGAGGAGGGUGUGAGGAGGAGGAGGGUGUGAGGAUGAGGAUGAGGAGGGGGUGGGGGCUCGGGAAGGGAAGGGAAGGGAAGGGAAGGGAAGGGAAGGGAAGGGAAGGGAAGGGAAGGGAAGGGAAGGGAAGGGGGGGAAGGAGCGGCUCUCACCCCGCGGCUCCGGCCGAGCAGCCGCAGCUCCUCCAGCAGCCCCCGCGGGCUCCGCUCCCGCCGCUCCUGCGCCCCCGCCCGCAGCCACGGGCCCGAGGUGCCCCAGAGCGCGGCCACCAGCGCCAGGGACACAGCCUGCCCUGGGGACAGUGGGGACAGGGUCAGGGACAGGGACAGGGACUGGCCUGGGGGACAAUGGGGACAGAGUUAGAGCCUGGCCUGGGGAACAGGGACAGGGUCAGGGACUGGCCUGGGGGACAAUGGGGACAGGGUCAGAGCCUGGCCUGGGGACAAUGGGGACAGGGUCAGGGACAGGGACAGGGACUGGCCUGGGGACAGUGGGGACAGGGUCAGGGACAGGGACAGGGACUGGCCUGGGGACAGUGGGGACAGGGUCAGGGACAGGGACAGGGACUGGCCUGGGGGACAGGGACAGGGUCAGGGACUGGCCUGGGGGACAGGGACAGGGUCAGAGCCUGGCCUGGGGGACAAUGGGGACAGGGACAGGGACAGGGACAGGGACAGAGACUGGCCUGGGGGACAGGGACAGGGUCAGAGCCUGGCCUGGGGGACAGGGACAGGGUCCGAGCCUGGCCUGGGGGGACAGCAGGAGCUGGAAUUGGGCAAUUAUCCCCAAUAUUUAAAUGGACCAAACUCCUAAAAAUGUGAAAACUUGUGAUGCACUGUCCAUCUUGGGUCUAGCCAAGGCCAGGCUCUCAUGCUGCCCAAGCUGUAUCCUGCCAAGGCUUUGAAUAAAUCCCUGCUUUCCUCUUAGGGUUAGAAGGAA
rnacentral:lncRNA from 1 species